rnacentral:rRNA from 1 species
AUGAGUAGGGCGGGACACGUGGUAUCCUGUCUGAAUAUGGGGGGACCAUCCUCCAAGGCUAAAUACUCCUGACUGACCGAUAGUGAACCAGUACCGUGAGGGAAAGGCGAAAAGAACCCCGGCGAGGGGAGUGAAAAAGAACCUGAAACCGUGUACGUACAAGCAGUGGGAGCCCCACCACCAAAGCAUUUGCUGUACCGCGUUGACGGAGCGAAGCGACGUCAAACCGAUAAAACAGCAGUGUAAAGUGAGCCGCAGGGCGCUUUGCGCGACAGCGCAAAGGCAGGCGGUUUCGCGUAGCGAAAGCGAAUGCUUUGGGGUGGGGUGACUGCGUACCUUUUGUAUAAUGGGUCAGCGACUUAUAUUCUGUAGCAAGGUUAACCGAAUAGGGGAGCCGGAGGGAAACCGAGUCUUAAUUGGGCGUUAAGUUGCAGGGUAUAGACCCGAAACCCGGUGAUCUAGCCAUGGGCAGGUUGAAGGUUGGGUAACACUAACUGGAGGACCGAACCGACUAAUGUUGAAAAAUUAGCGGAUGACCUGUGGCUGGGGGUGAAAGGCCAAUCAAACCGGGAGAUAGCUGGUUCUCCCCGAAAGCUAUUUAGGUAGCGCCUCGUGAAUUCAUCUCCGGGGGUAGAGCACUGUUUCGGCUAGGGGGCCAUCCCGGCUUACCAACCCGAUGCAAACUGCGAAUACCGGAGAAUGUUAUCACGGGAGACACACGGCGGGUGCUAACGUCCGUCGUGAAGAGGGAAACAACCCAGACCGCCAGCUAAGGUCCCAAAGUCAUGGUUAAGUGGGAAACGAUGUGGGAAGGCCCAGACAGCCAGGAUGUUGGCUUAGAAGCAGCCAUCAUUUAAAGAAAGCGUAAUAGCUCACUGGUCGAGUCGGCCUGCGCGGAAGAUGUAACGGGGCUAAACCAUGCACCGAAGCUGCGGCAGCGACACUGUGUGUUGUUGGGUAGGGGAGCGUUCUGUAAGCCUGUGAAGGUGUGUCGUGAGGCAUGCUGGAGGUAUCAGAAGUGCGAAUGCUGACAUAAGUAACGAUAAAGCGGGUGAAAAGCCCGCUCGCCGGAAGACCAAGGGUUCCUGUCCAACGUUAAUCGGGGCAGGGUGAGUCGACCCCUAAGGCGAGGCCGAAAGGCGUAGUCGAUGGGAAACGGGUUAAUAUUCCCGUACUUGGUGUUACUGCGAAGGGGGGACGGAGAAGGCUAUGUUGGCCGGGCGACGGUUGUCCCGGUUUAAGCGUGUAGGUGUGUGUUCCAGGUAAAUCCGGUUCACUUUAACACUGAGGCGUGACGACGAGGCACUACGGUGCUGAAGCAACAAAUGCCCUGCUUCCAGGAAAAGCCUCUAAGCAUCAGGUAACAUCAAAUCGUACCCCAAACCGACACAGGUGGUCAGGUAGAGAAUACCAAGGCGCUUGAGAGAACUCGGGUGAAGGAACUAGGCAAAAUGGUGCCGUAACUUCGGGAGAAGGCACGCUGACACGUAGGUGAAGUGAUUUACUCAUGGAGCUGAAGUCAGUCGAAGAUACCAGCUGGCUGCAACUGUUUAUUAAAAACACAGCACUGUGCAAACACGAAAGUGGACGUAUACGGUGUGACGCCUGCCCGGUGCCGGAAGGUUAAUUGAUGGGGUCAGCGCAAGCGAAGCUCCUGAUCGAAGCCCCGGUAAACGGCGGCCGUAACUAUAACGGUCCUAAGGUAGCGAAAUUCCUUGUCGGGUAAGUUCCGACCUGCACGAAUGGCGUAAUGAUGGCCAGGCUGUCUCCACCCGAGACUCAGUGAAAUUGAACUCGCUGUGAAGAUGCAGUGUACCCGCGGCAAGACGGAAAGACCCCGUGAACCUUUACUAUAGCUUGACACUGAACAUUGAGCCUUGAUGUGUAGGAUAGGUGGGAGGCUUUGAAGUGUGGACGCCAGUCUGCAUGGAGCCGACCUUGAAAUACCACCCUUUAAUGUUUGAUGUUCUAACGUGGACCCGUUACCCGGGUUGCGGACAGUGUCUGGUGGGUAGUUUGACUGGGGCGGUCUCCUCCUAAAGAGUAACGGAGGAGCACGAAGGUUGGCUAAUCCUGGUCGGACAUCAGGAGGUUAGUGCAAUGGCAUAAGCCAGCUUGACUGCGAGCGUGACGGCGCGAGCAGGUGCGAAAGCAGGUCAUAGUGAUCCGGUGGUUCUGAAUGGAAGGGCCAUCGCUCAACGGAUAAAAGGUACUCCGGGGAUAACAGGCUGAUACCGCCCAAGAGUUCAUAUCGACGGCGGUGUUUGGCACCUCGAUGUCGGCUCAUCACAUCCUGGGGCUGAAGUAGGUCCCAAGGGUAUGGCUGUUCGCCAUUUAAAGUGGUACGCGAGCUGGGUUUAGAACGUCGUGAGACAGUUCGGUCCCUAUCUGCCGUGGGCGCUGGAGAACUGAGGGGGGCUGCUCCUAGUACGAGAGGACCGGAGUGGACGCAUCACUGGUGUUCGGGUUGUCAUGCCAAUGGCACUGCCCGGUAGCUAAAUGCGGAAGAGAUAAGUGCUGAAAGCAUCUAAGCACGAAACUUGCCCCGAG